GACGAACGCUGGCGGCGUGCUUAACACAUGCAAGUCGAACGGGAAGGCCCUGCUUUUGUGGGGUGCUCGAGUGGCGAAAGGGUGAGUAACACGUGAGUAACCUGCCCUUGACUUUGGGAUAACUUCAGGAAACUGGGGCUAAUACCGGAUAGGAGCUCCUGCUGCAUGGUGGGGGUUGGAAAGUUUCGGCGGUUGGGGAUGGACUCGCGGCUUAUCAGCGUGUUGGUGGGGUAGUGGCUUACCAAGGCUUUGACGGGUAGCCGGCCUGAGAGGGUGACCGGCCACAUUGGGCCUGAGAUGCGGCCCAGACUCCUACGGGGGGCAGCAGUGGGGAAUAUUGCACGAUGGGCGGAAGCCUGAUGCAGCAACGCCGCGUGCGGGAUGACGGCCUUCGGGUUGUAAACCGCUUUCGCCUGUGACGAAGCGUGAGUGACGGUAAUGGGUAAAGAAGCACCGGCUAACUACGUG
rnacentral:rRNA from 1 species